GCUCCGUCACCUUGGGUAACUGUUGAAGCUGGCGAUGUGGUGGUGCGCGCCAGAUCUUCCAGAGCUCUGGGCGAGUUUGAACCCACCCUAGGCAGUUUAGCAACUGAGGGAGACCCUGUCUUGAAAUUAAAAAAAAAGGCCUCAGUCCUCAGUGCUGUGACAAAGGAUGAGAAUAGAGCUCAGCUGCUCAGCGUCAGGGCUAUGCGUUCCAUCUCUGGUAUCAAAACAAAAUGAAAGGGAACAAAGGAAACAGCCACUGCACACUGUUAAGGUGCUCCCCUAGCCUGCAUGGGUGAACGUUAAGGGUAAAUGCGGUUAAACCAGGCGUCUACACACCUGUGACCCCAGCACUCUGCAGGCUGAGGCAGGAGGGUCUCCAGGAGUUCCAGGCCAGCCUGAAAUGCAUAGCGAAACCUUGUCUCAAAACAAACAAACCAAAAAACUCCCCACAAACCAAAAAUAAACUAGGUUAAGAUGAUUCUAUGUUUUGCCCAUAUUACAAUAAAGUAUAUCUGUAGACUUUUAAAUAUAUACAAAAUAAAAGCCUCUGAUUUUGUCCCAAAA